CUGCGUUGGUGAGUGUGGUGCGACACCCCAUAAGCGCCACACACGUACACGUACCGGUGGGACGGGUUUGUACGAGGCUGGGAGGAAAUCAUCACAGUAUACCCACUACAAUAGAGUAGACUACACCUCUGAUUAUAGGCCUGCCGCCUACAGUAGAUGCAAGCUACACUAGGUUCUGUUCAGUCAAUAUUGAAGAGGAUGAAUUCGGUUAACAAUCAUCAACCAGCCGGAUCGACCGGCAGAAAGAUCGCACCAUCUUUCCCCCGUCUUCGUUAAAUGCGACUGCAUCAACUCUUCCUCAACAACCCCAUCCCCAGCAGAUGGGCGACGGGGCAAGUCACCAUGCUCGGGUCACGUGAUGAAAGCGAGGCUCAUCGAUUGGCUGCAGGGGAAUUCCAGGUCACCAUCCAUCGCUCAGCAACUCACUGGCAUUUAGCUCCAGGUGCAUGCUGGGUAUUUUCACAAUAGAUGGGAGGAUUCCACUGAAUCGUAGAAAAUGUCAGGUUUGG
ensembl:lncRNA